UACGAGGGGGGGCAAGUGUUGUUCGGAAUUACUGGGCGUAAAGGGCGCGUAGGCGGCGUUUUUAAGUCGGGGGUGAAAGCCUGUGGCUCAACCACAGAAUGGCCUCGAUACUGGGACGCUUGAGUAUGGUGGAGGUUGGUGGAACUGCGAGUGUAGAGGUGAAAUUCGUAGAUAUUCGCAAGAACACCGGUGGCGAAGGCGGCCAACUGGACCAUUACUGACGCUGAGGCGCGAAAGCGUGGGGAGCAAACAGG
rnacentral:rRNA from 1 species